rnacentral:rRNA from 1 species
AUACGGAGGGUGCAAGCGUUGUCCGGAUUUAUUGGGUUUAAAGGGUGUGUAGGCGGUGUAUUAAGUCAGUGGUGAAAGCCUGCGGCUCAACCGUAGAACUGCCAUGGAUACUGACACACUUGAGUAUGGACGAGGUAGGCGGAAUUUAUGGUGUAGCGGUGAAAUGCAUAGAUACCAUAAAGAACACCGAUAGCGAAGGCAGCUUACUAGGCCAUAACUGACGCUGAGGCACGAAAGCGUGGGGAGCGAACAGGAUUAGAAACCCUAGUAGUCC